UACAGAGGGUGCGAGCGUUAAUCGGAAUUACUGGGCGUAAAGCGUGCGUAGACGGCUAUCUAAGUCGGGUGUGAAAGCCCCGGGCUCAACCUGGGAAUUGCAUUCGAGACUGAAUAGCUAGGGUACGGUAGAGGGAAGCGGAAUUUCCGGUGUAGCGGUGAAAAUGCGUAGAUAUCGGAAGGAACAUCAGUGGCGAAGGCGGGUAGCUGGGCCAACACUGACGCUGAUGUGCGAAAGCUAGGGGAGCAAACGGG
rnacentral:rRNA from 1 species